UUUACUAAUUACAAUUAUAAGAAAAGUGUUAUUUUUCUUUCUUCCUCUUCUAUUCACAUAUAUCUAUUUGAAGUGGUGGCCAUCUCCACCCUUCCAUCUCACAUCCAUCCCCUUCAUGUCUCCAUCCCUCUCGUCUCCAGCCCUUCUUGCCAUGUUGAACCUCUUCUUAACCUUCCUACGCCGCAGUCUAGGGAGAAAGAGACACUCUGUGAGUUUAUUCAUCUCUUGGUCAAAUCAUCUUUAUCUCUUUCAAACUUCUUUAUGCUGCUAUUGAUAUAGUUUCAAGCUUUGAUUUGUGGGUGAUAAGACCUCUGAUGUUGUUGAUAAGUUGAAGCUUCCAAAGAAAAAUAAUGUCAAGGUUUAUUAUUUAUUUUUUUGAUUUGUCUUGUUUGAAAUAUUCUCUGACUGCAGUUCAUUCAUUUAAAAAAAAUAUAUAUAUUUUAUAAUAGAAAGUUGUUUUAUAGUU